UAUUUGCUUAUAAAAUUCUAAACACAUUUUAACAGGUUAAGCAGUGUGUUUUUUUAAACGUGUCUGUACAGUCUGGCUAUAUACCAUAUGUUAUCCACUUAAAAUGUAAAAAUAACCAAAAAGCUGUUAAAGUGCUGCAAACUAUUGCUUAAUGACUUAAAUAAAUGAGAUCUGUUGAACAAUUUCCUUGACUUUACCACUGACAUAUGGUUUCUCAUAAAUGAGAUUCUGAGCAGUGAGAGAAACCAGAUACAGCAGCAUGGUAAUAUAAACAUGCAUUGAUAGCAUCCAAACUAUCUAUAAAUGGUACAGAAUACAUUUUAUUACCUGUGUAAAGCUUGCACUCUACAUUUCUUGUGGUACAUAUUUGAUGCAAUAAAUACUGUGCUUAGGUCAUUAUUUGUUUGCUCAAACGUGCACCACAGGGUAAAAUGACUAUUUACAUAAUAAAUAGCAUUUCAUUAACAUAUACAGUGUCAACCUUGCUGAGAGCCGAAGAUGGCUAAACAAAGUGCAGGAUAAAGCAGAAAUUUAUAAAGAGUAAUUUUGGUCAAUUCAGUCUUCUGGCGGUGGAGGGUGAGGGGCAAUAUUCACUAUUCAGGUUUUUUUUUUUUUUAAUACAACAAAAAGAAACAUAACAUUUAUGACUCCAGACAUUUGAAUGAAGUUUGCACCUGCUAAGAUUUACUGGCCUACCCACAAACAAUCUACUUGGUCUAGGGGCUGGAUUUCGCAAAACAAGAUCAACAAAGCACCUCCACUUAUCACCCAAUUACCCCUCCCAGAAAUAUGGUGAAAUUUAAGAAUUUGUUUUUCUUGUGACUUUUUCUCAUGCAUGAUCUCUAAGUGCAGCAUGCCCUCAUGCAAACCACGACUUUGUGUAGCUGGGAGGGCCAUGUGGUUGCCAUACCCCCCAGGUGGCAUACCUGUUAUAGAGGUCCUUAGCCUAUUUCUCAACAGAAACUUCGUUUACAAAAAUAGUCACAUAUAAUAAACACAUGGAUUAACAAAAAGAUGAAUCCACUAACAGAUUCCGUAAAAAUGUGACAAAUGUGGCAGUUGAAAUGCAAACAGUGGAUACAAUUACUACACUAAAGUGUUUCAUGUUAAACAACCCCAAAAUCACAGGUUUGCACCCCUUGAAACUGGUCCCUACAGUCUGACUAGCCAUUGUGUAUCUUAUCUUCAGCAGUGUCAGCUGGUAGUGAGAACAGUAACCUCCUGUCAAGGUCAUCUCCCCUUUACACAGAGUCACAAUUUGCUGACAAGGGGUCACUGUCUUAUUGUAGGCACUGACCUUAAGGAGAUUUGUGUAAAAACAGUCAGUUUGGCAUUGACCUCCUAAAGGAGUCCUGUUGAUAAAAAUACAUCACCUUCACAGGCUGUAAACAAUUUGUCACCCAAUUAUUUUUAUUUAUUUUCAUUUAUUUCCCUUUGGCUUUUUCAUCUUUGCCUUCUUGCUCAUGUUUUUCCACAAUUGGCUUUGUCACCCGGUCAUAGGAAGGCGGACAAGCUGCAGUGGACAUGGUCAGAUCAGUUUUUUCUGUAAUAGAGUUUUCAUUUAUUCUGUCAAUUAUCAUGUCUUCUUUUAUAAGAAGAUUAGCCCCACCUUUGAUUUUGUUUUUAUUGUACGUAAAGGAAGCUUGUUUUACAGUUCGCUUUAAAAGGUGGCGUCUGUAAGCACGCUGAAUAAUGACAGCAGAUACUUCCUCUUGUUUUCGUUUUAAAGUAGUAGUGAUUGGCUGAUAGGAGACCUUGGAAGGAUUGGAAGCCAUGAAUCGCUCUUCCAUCUGUAUUCGUAGAGCAUCCAUCUCUCCACUCUCUCCUAGAACCCGCUUUGUAAAAGCAAAUAAGAUAUCAAGACAGUGGAUCCGGUCACCACUCACCAUGGGCAAAUCCAUGGCAAUGAGCUGGAGUUUAUUUGGUUGUGGCAGAUUGAGAGGCGGUUCAAGCGCAGCUGCAAACUGAGAUAAUUUUUCAAAUUCCAUGAACUGAGUUGCAUCGGGAUCAAACUUCUCCCAAACCUCAUAGAACAUCUCAAAGUCAUCCUCACUCAGAGGCUCUGCACUUUCUUCAGUAGCAACACUGAAGUUCUCCAGGAUGACCGCGAUGUACAUGUUCACCACAACCAGGAAGGAUAUGAUGAUGUAACUGACAAAAAAGAAAAUUCCAACAGAUGGGUUCCCACAAUCUCCCUUAACUGAGCUUCCAGGGUUAACUUUAUUAGGGUCACAGUCGGGUGGCUUACUGUUGAGAAUGGGUGCUAGCAAUCCAUCCCAGCCAGCAGAGGUUGUAAUUUGGAACAGGCAGAUCAUGCUGUUGCCAAAGGUCUCAAAGUUGAACAUGUCAUCGAUCCCAACUUCCCUCUUAACAUAGGCAAAGUUGGACAUCCCAAAGAUGGCGUAGAUGAACAUGACCAGGAAGAGUAGGAGGCCGAUGUUAAACAAUGCAGGAAGGGACAUCAUCAAAGCAAAGAGCAGCGUGCGGAUCCCCUUUGCUCCUUUGAUCAGACGUAGGAUUCGGCCAAUCCUAGCAAGACGGAUCACUCGGAACAGGGUAACAGAGAUCUCUGGAGGUGAAACAUUGCUCUGAACUGGCAUUGAUUCUAGCCCAGC
rnacentral:lncRNA from 1 species